GGGGUGGCCCAUAUACUAAUAGAGGAAAGAAAAAGAAAAAAUCAGCAUGGCCUUUGGGCAGGUAUGACCUGAACAUUAAUGAAGUGUUCUAAAUUGUA
rnacentral:snRNA from 14 species